rnacentral:rRNA from 1 species
UGACGGGGGGGGCAAGCGUUGUUCGGAAUUACUGGGCGUAAAGGGUUUGUAGGUGGCCCGCUAAGUCACACGUGAAAUCCCUCAGCUUAACCGGGGAACUGCGUCUGAUACUGGAUGGCUUGAGUUCGGGAGAGGGAUGCGGAAUUCCAGGUGUAGCGGUGAAAUGCGUAGAUAUCUGGAGGAACACCGGUGGCGAAGGCGGCAUCCUGGACCGACACUGACACUGAGGAGCGAAAGCCAGGGGAGCAAACGGG